CACUUGUGGAGAACACAGAAAAGUUGGAGUUAGAAAGAAUUCAGAUUCUACAACUGUGUUUGGAGACAGGAUUUUCAAGGAGGAGAUUGAAGAAAAAUAAGGCUGUUGUAUAAGACUCUAGUACGUGGGCUAGUGCUUCCCACAUUCAAGAAGUUGGUACCACUCGUGUGAAGUACUGAGGGACAAGAAAGGAAAUGAGAAUGAAAUAAAGCCGCUUCCUGUUCUGCUGAGAAAAAUUCCUCAGAGUUAAGGGCUGUG